GGCGCUCCAGGGUGGGACCGAGGGACAUUCCGGGACCAACCAGCAGGAGGCGUGGCAGCGGGAGAAUGGCAUACUACAAAAGAUGAAGAGUACUCACUUGAGGACUGAUCCUGUGAGCUGCUGAUUGCUUCCAUCUCCCACAGGCCUCAAGAGUUGUUGGGUGUGCUCACUGUUUUGCAUGGUUGGGCUCUUGGAGCUGACCUCCAUCGUGUUUUCAUAAAGUUUUAAGUGGAAGCUGACCAAAGUAGCCUGUGAUCCCACGGACUUCAGUGGGUGCCCAGAGACUGCAGUACUGUAUUGAAGAGUUCUGGGGCCCUGUGCACUAUGGAAAUGGCAUCCCCUGACACACACCUGAAAGGUGCUGUGACCUGGUGUGAGGAGCCACAGGCUGCCCUGCUCAAGUGUGACGUGUUUUGCCCCUGCUGGCUACUAACAGCUUUCAGAUAGCACAACAGUUGCAUUCUCUUCAAUAUUAAUCCAGAAAUAGAUCCUGCAGUUGAUUCAACCUAGCUGAGGUCUGUUUCAGGUUAUGCAUCACCCCGCUUCUUUCUGGCUGUUGCCGUCUUCUUCCAGAGAACAUGUGUGUGUUGCUCCCAAGAGUUUAUGUGGUUUCUGGUUUGGAAUGGAGCACCCGUAGCAGGAACAGCAGAGCAGAAUGUGUUUAUGAGCAGGGAUGGUCAUGCAUGGCAGCCGGAACUCUGAGGUCAUUCUUUCCCUGUCCUAAACAAGAGACUGACAGUAGUGUUAAAAUUGCUUGCUGGAGAACAUAGAAUACCAUGCUCCUCAACCACAUCAAAGGUGACUGGAACCACUGCUUUGCUCAAAACACCACCAUAGAUUUAUUGGCUGCAUCUUUCAUGGACUAAAUGAAAAUGUAUGAAGACAAUAGGUCAGCUUUUGAGGAUCAUAGACUCUUCAUCAUGUUCUGGCAAAGUAGACCUGGUAAUGAAAGCAAAACUGGCAGCAUGUUUGCUAAGAUGGUAUUUUUUAGGCAAAUACAAAA